rnacentral:ncRNA from 1 species
GGGAAAACAAUGAUGAAGAGUAGUAAGUAUAAGAAAGAUGUUAAAGAGAGUCGGUGGCUGGUGUGAACCGAUACAUUGAUUAUACCGAAUGGACUUCUGAGUGUAGGCUUGAACAAGAAGUAUGGCCUGACGGUAUCCUCCGUUACCGGGAUAGAGUAUAAUAUUGUACUCGAUAAGAGAGAGUGAAGCUUCACUCUAACCUGAGGUGGUACCGCGGUUUAUGAAUCGUCCUCUAU